rnacentral:rRNA from 1 species
UACAGAGGUGGCAAGCGUUGUUCGGAAUUACUGGGCGUAAAGCGUGCGCAGGCGGUUUUGUAAGACAGGCGUGAAAUCCCCGGGCUUAACCUGGGAACUGCGUUUGUGACUGCAAGGCUAGAGUACGGCAGAGGGGGGUGGAAUUCCACGUGUAGCAGUGAAAUGCGUAGAGAUGUGGAGGAACACCAAUGGCGAAGGCAGCCCCCUGGGUCGAUACUGACGCUCAUGCACGAAAGCGUGGGUAGCAAACAGG